UCCAACUUGAACUGAAAAUAACAUUCCAGUUCCAUGGAGUCCAGAUCAGGCAUUUCCCCAACCAGUGACUUCUUUUGAAACCCUAAGCUUUAGUCAUUCAACAGUUGUUUCUCUUGUUAGGUUUAGGUCUGUUUAUGUUCAGUACAUCCAUUCUUCAUCUUCUUCUUCGUUUGUAGUGAAUUACUUAAUCAAUUCACGUGGAUUAUCUGAGGUUGAAGCUAUUUACAGCUUCUAAAACUGUCAAUUUCGAAACCUCAUCAAACCCAGAUUCAGUUUUAGACCUACUUGAAAACCACGGAUUCACUAAACCUUACAUUUCCAAACUCAUUACUUGGUAUCCAAAAAUUCUCAAAUUCGGAAUUCAAAAAAACCUAAAACCCAAAUUUGAUUUUUUCAAAUCUAAAGGACUUUCUGGAAUUGACCUUGCCGAGUUCUUCCUCUCUUGCGACCCAAGAGUCCUUGAGACGAGCUUACAAGACAAAAUAAUUCCUUGUUGUGAUACUCUCAAAAACAUUGUUCAGUUUGACAAGAAUGUUGUUGUAAUUAUCAGACGCCAUCCAUGGAUUCUUACCGGAAACGUAUAUCUAAAAAACUUGAUGGUCAACAUUGAGCUUUUGAGAGAUGAAGGUAUCCCUCAAUUGAAUGUUUCGAACUUUCUUAUGAACCAACCAAGUGCACUUACGAUCAGCACCAGUAAAUUUGAGGAGAUUGUGCAACAGAUUAAGGGUAUGGGUUUUGAUCCUUCAAAAACUACAUUUCUUCGCGGUCUCCAGGGAUUGAUAGCCAUGACCAAUGCGACCUGGGAAACAAAAGUGAAUACUUGGGGUUGGACAGGAGAAGACAUUCAAGAUGCAUUUAGGAAGCAUCCUCAGUGCAUGAUGCAAUCUGAGAAGAAGAUAAUGUCCACAAUGGAUUUCCUUGUGAAUCAAAUGGGUUAUAAUCCAUCAUUGAUUGCCAAAUAUCCAGCUAUUUUUAGUUAUAGCUUGGAGAAGAGGAUUAUCCCAGAUUAAGGAACAAAUUUCUUUACGUUCUUUAUUUGUACCACCUGAUAAGCUUUUCUUGGAGAGGCAUGUGAGCAAGCAUGAGGUACAGGUUCCUGAACUCUCAAAGGUACUGCAGUGGCUUCAGAAUGAUGCUAGUCAAUUCAGGGGGCUGGUUCUCAGACUCUCCAGCACUCAAAUUCAUUGGCAGCAGAAGCUCUCAGUUUCUGAGUUGGAACUCAGUGGACAGUCAAAAAGAGGUUUUAGUAAAGUAGCUUGAAGGUGAUUCUCAACAGGUGGUGCGCAUACUUACCAACAAAAGAAAGGCAGAUCCCCUGGAGAAUUCGGGAUAUUCUUAAACCCCCUUAGACAUGUCCAAGAAUAUUGCAAUCGAAGGAUCAGAGGAGAUGGAGAUGACGCUGGUCCUGAUUCGAAUUUGGUCAAUUUGGUUGGAGCUAGCUGAAUUAGCUUGAUCAUCAUGGAGACCAAAACGGCAGAACCCACUUCAACCAGCACCAUGUCAUGGAGACAAGAACCCAUUUCAUCUGGUUUGCCUACUAUUCAGCAGGUGAGUCAAGUAACAAGUGGCACAUACGGCGGUUACCAGAGACAGGGUCCCGCUGCUUUCCAAAAUUAUGGUGUCAGCCGUACUCCAUCACAUUUUAAAAUGCCUCUGGACUCGAAUCCAGUUCCUUACGAAGUUUCCCAUGGUACUCAGCAGACUGCCUUUUCUCAAGGACCUACUUCAUGUUUUCCUGCUAUACAUCCUGGUGCUCGGACUUAUGCCUCAGGGUUGCAAUCUGGUUCUUCAAUGGAUACACGGCGAGCAGAUGAACUGCAGAUCACAACAGAUGCCAGUAUUCUUCCUUUUUUUUGUUGAUGAGAACAACAAGAAGAAGCAUUGUCAGAACAUGAUCACAAGUGAAGCAAGAUUGAAUGAUGAAGAGUGUGCAUGUACAUAACAUAUGAAGAUCAAGUUUGUGGCAAGAUUCCUGAAUUUCCAGAUAUUUCUUAUCCUGUUGAAUGACAAAUCUUUGCUGUGAGAUUGGCGACUAUGAGAGGAUAGAAACUACAUCUCAAUCUCAGCCAGGAAAUAUUGUAAGCAUUAUAGUUGGUGAAUUUUGUAAACAGUAACAGUUUGGGGACAAAAACGUCUUCUUUUUAAUUCUCUUUCUUAGGCCCCUUUUUGAAUUGUUGUUUUAUGUUAGCUUUCCUU